CCUACGGGGGGCAGCAGUGGGGAAUAUUGCGCAAUGGGCGAAAGCCUGACGCAGCGACGCCGCGUGAGGGAUGAAGGUCUUCGGAUCGUAAACCUCUGUCAGCAGGGAAGAACGGUCACUGUGCUAAUCAGCAGUGAAUUGACGGUACCUGCAAAGGAAGCACCGGCUAACUCCGUGCCAGCAGCCGCGGUAAUACGUAGGGUGCGAGCGUUAAUCGGAAUUACUGGGCGUAAAGCGCUCGUAGGCGGUAUGUCAAGUCAAGGGUGAAAUCCCCGCGCUCAACGUGGGAACUGCCUUUGAAACUGGCAAACUGGAGUGUGUGAGAGGAUAGUGGAAUUCCAGGUGUAGGAGUGAAAUGCGUAGAUAUCUGGAGGAACAUCAGUGGCGAAGGCGACUAUCUGGCACAUAACUGACGCUGAGGAGCGAAAGCGUGGGUAGCAAACAGGAUUAGAUACCCUGGUAGUC
rnacentral:rRNA from 1 species